rnacentral:rRNA from 1 species
AUUGAACGCUGGCGGCAGGCCUAACACAUGCAAGUCGAACGAGUGGCGGACGGGUGAGUAAUGUCGGGGAAAGUGCCAGAUGGAGGGGGAUAACUACUGGAAACGGUAGCUAAUACCGCAUAACAUCAUAUGUGCACAGAUGGGAUUCUCGUGGUGGUUGGGUAACGGCUCACCAAGGAGACGAUCCCUAGCUGGUCUGAGAGUAUGACCAGCCACACUGUAACUGAGACACGGUCCAGACUCCUACGGGAGGCAGCAGUGGGGAAUAUUGCACAAUGGGCGCAAGCCUGAUGCAGCCAUGCCGCGUGUAUGAAGAAGGCCUUCGGGUUGUAAAGUACUUUCAGCGGGGAGGCGUUACCCGCAGAAGAAGCACCGGCUAACUCCGUGCCAGCAGCCGCGGUAAUAC